rnacentral:tRNA from 1 species
GGUCUUAUAUUCAAUGAUGAUCCUAAACUGCAAUUUUAGAGGUGUAAUAUUAGUUACUAAGGCCU